ACGAAGGGUGCAAGCGUUAUUCGGAAUCACUGGGCGUAAAGGGUGCGUAGACGGUAUGUUAAGUUUGUUGUUAAAGGCUCCGGCCUAACUGGAGUAUUGCGAUGAAAACUGGCGUGCUAGAGGGUGAGAGAGAGAAGUGGAAUUCCCGGAGUAGCGGUAAAAUGCGUGGAUCUCGGGAGGAACACCAAUGGCGAAGGCAGCUUCUUGGCUCAUUCCUGACGUUGAGGCACGAAAGCGUGGGGAGCAAACAGG
rnacentral:rRNA from 1 species